rnacentral:rRNA from 1 species
UAAAUGCUAAAUCUUAAUGAGUAGGAGGGCGUAUGGAUAAUAUAGAAGAUUAACAGUAAUGUUAAUUGAAAUUAUCUUUAGUGCAGAUCUUGGUGGUAGUAGCAAAUAUUCAAUAGAGAACAUUGAAGACUGAAGUGGAGAAAGGUUUCACAUGAACAACACUUGGAUGUGAGUUAGUCGAUCCUAAACGGUGGGUUAACUACCAUAUACAUGAAUACUUGUAUUCUGUACCGUGAAAGGGAAACAGGUUAAUAUUCCUGUACUAUAUCAAGGAGGUAAAAUGGUAACACAAAUGAACUCAAAUACAUCAGUAGAAUAACCAGGAAGAGUUCUCUUUUUCUUCUUAACAACUUUCCUCGUAAGGGGUGCAUAAUGACCAUGGAAUCAAUUUAGUUGGAGAAUGGUUAAAGAGUUGGCAGAGUAAUUCAAUUUCUGAAUUAUCUGGUUAGAUUCUAA